AACGAACGCUGGCGGCAUGCCUAACACAUGCAAGUCGAACGAACCCUUCGGGGUUAGUGGCGCACGGGUGCGUAACGCGUGGGAAUCUGCCCUUUGGUUCGGAAUAACUCAGGGAAACUUGAGCUAAUACCGGAUGAUGACUUCGGUCCAAAGAUUUAUCGCCAAAGGAUGAGCCCGCGUAGGAUUAGCUAGUUGGUGGGGUAAUGGCCCACCAAGGCGACGAUCCUUAGCUGGUCUGAGAGGAUGAUCAGCCACACUGGGACUGAGACACGGCCCAGACUCCUACGGGAGGCAGCAGUGGGGAAUAUUGGACAAUGGGCGAAAGCCUGAUCCAGCAAUGCCGCGUGAGUGAUGAAGGCCUUAGGGUUGUAAAGCUCUUUUACCCGGGAUGAUAAUGACAGUACCGGGAGAAUAAGCACCGGCUAACUACGUGCCAGCAGCCGCCG
rnacentral:rRNA from 1 species